UGGGGAAUAUUGGACAAUGGGCGCAAGCCUGAUCCAGCAAUACCGCGUGUGUGAAGAAGGCCUGAGGGUUGUAAAGCACUUUCAGUGGGGAGGAAAAAGGAUGGGUUAAUACCCUGUUUAUUGACAUUACCCACAGAAGAAGCACCGGCUAACUCCGUGCCAGCAGCCGCGGUAAUACGGAGGGUGCGAGCGUUAAUCGGAAUUACUGGGCGUAAAGCGUGCGUAGGCGGUUCAUUAAGUUAGAUGUGAAAGCCCUGGGCUUAACCUGGGAACGGCAUUUAAGACUGGUGAGCUAGAGUUGGGUAGAGGGCAGUGGAAUUUCCGGUGUAGCGGUGAAAUGCGUAGAUAUCGGAAGGAACACCAGUGGCGAAGGCGGCUGCCUGGACCCGAACUGACGCUG
rnacentral:rRNA from 1 species